rnacentral:rRNA from 1 species
GACGAACGCUGGCGGCGUGCUUAACACAUGCAAGUCGAACGAAGAGCGACGGAAGCUUGCUUCUAUCAAUCUUAGUGGCGAACGGGUGAGUAACGCGUAAUCAACCUGCCCUUCAGAGGGGGACAACAGUUGGAAACGACUGCUAAUACCGCAUACGAUCUAACCUCGGCAUCGAGGAUAGAUGAAAGGUGGCCUCUACAUGUAAGCUAUCACUGAAGGAGGUGAUUGCGUCUGUUUAGUUAGUUGGCGGGGUAACGGAGCUCGAAGGCGAUGAUCAGGAGCCGGACGGAGAGGAUGAGCGGCCAGAUUGGGAGGGAGACCGGGCCCAGAGGGCUACGGAAAGGAGCAGGAGGGAUACUGGCGGAAGGGACGAAAGUUUGACGGAGAAACGCCGCGGGAGGGAUGACGGCCGUCGGGUUGUAGAGCUCGGUUAAUCGGGACGAAAGGCCUUCUUGCGAAUAGUGAGAAGGAUUGACGGUACCGGAAUAGAAAGCCACGGCUAACUACGUG